rnacentral:rRNA from 1 species
AAAGGAAUUGACGGGGACCCGCACAAGCAGCGGAGCAUGUGGUUUAAUUCGACGCAACGCGAAGAACCUUACCAAGGCUUGACAUCCCCUUGACAGAUGCAGAAAUGUGUCCUCUCCUUCGGGAGCAAGGGAGACAGGUGGUGCAUGGUUGUCGUCAGCUCGUGUCGUGAGAUGUUGGGUUAAGUCCCGCAACGAGCGCAACCCUUGUCAUUAGUUGCCAUCAUUAAGUUGGGCACUCUAGUGAGACUGCCGGUGAUAAACCGGAGGAAGGUGGGGAUGACGUCAAAUCAUCAUGCCCCUUACGUCUUGGGCUACACACGUGCUACAAUGGUCGGAACAAAGGGAAGCGAAAGGGUGACCUGGAGCAAAACCUCAUAAACCGAUCCCAGUUCGGAUUGCAGGCUGCAACUCGCCUGCAUGAAGUCGGAGUUGCUAGUAAUCGCGAAUCAGAACGUCGCGGUGAAUACGUUCCCGGGUCUUGUACACACCGCCCGU